rnacentral:rRNA from 1 species
GAGACAGCAGCCGCCACGGUAAUACGGAGGAUCCAAGCGUUAUCCGGAAUCAUUGGGUUUAAAGGGUCCGUAGGCGGUCUUGUAAGUCAGUGGUGAAAGCCCAUCGCUCAACGGUGGAACGGCCAUUGAUACUGCAGGACUUGAAUUAUUGGGAAGUAACUAGAAUAUGUAGUGUAGCGGUGAAAUGCUUAGAGAUUACAUGGAAUACCAAUUGCGAAGGCAGGUUACUACCAAUUGAUUGACGCUGAUGGACGAAAGCGUGGGUAGCGAACAGGAUUAGAUACCCCCGUAGUCCCUGUCUCUUAUAC